rnacentral:rRNA from 1 species
AUGAACGCUAGCUACAGGCUUAACACAUGCAAGUCGAGGGGCAGCAUGGUCUUAGCUUGCUAAGGCCGAUGGCGACCGGCGCACGGGUGAGUAACACGUAUCCAACCUGCCGUCUACUCUUGGACAGCCUUCUGAAAGGAAGAUUAAUACAAGAUGGCAUCAUGAGUCCGCAUGUUCACAUGAUUAAAGGUAUUCCGGUAGACGAUGGGGAUGCGUUCCAUUAGAUAGUAGGCGGGGUAACGGCCCACCUAGUCUUCGAUGGAUAGGGGUUCUGAGAGGAAGGUCCCCCACAUUGGAACUGAGACACGGUCCAAACUCCUACGGGAGGCAGCAGUGAGGAAUAUUGGUCAAUGGGCGAGAGCCUGAACCAGCCAAGUAGCGUGAAGGAUGACUGCCCUAUGGGUUGUAAACUUCUUUUAUAAAGGAAUAAAGUCGGGUAUGUAUACCCGUUUGCAUGUACUUUAUGAAUAAGGAUCGGCUAACUCCGUGCCAGCAGCCGCGGUAAUACGGAGGAUCCGAGCGUUAUCCGGAUUUAUUGGGUUUAAAGGGAGCGUAGAUGGAUGUUUAAGUCAGUUGUGAAAGUUUGCGGCUCAACCGUAAAAUUGCAGUUGAUACUGGAUAUCUUGAGUGCAGUUGAGGCAGGCGGAAUUCGUGGUGUAGCGGUGAAAUGCUUAGAUAUCACGAAGAACUCCGAUUGCGAAGGCAGCCUGCUAAGCUGCAACUGACAUUGAGGCUCGAAAGUGUGGGUAUCAAACAGGAUUAGAUACCCUGGUAGUCCACACGGUAAACGAUGAAUACUCGCUGUUUGCGAUAUACUGCAAGCGGCCAAGCGAAAGCGUUAAGUAUUCCACCUGGGGAGUACGCCGGCAACGGUGAAACUCAAAGGAAUUGACGGGGGCCCGCACAAGCAGUGGAGUAUGUGGUUUAAUUCGACGCAACGCGAAGAACCUUACCAAGUCUUGACAUCCUGCGACGAUGCUGGAAACAGUAUUUUCCUUCGGGACGCAGAGACAGGUGGUGCAUGGUUGUCGUCAGCUCGUGUCGUGAGAUGUUGGGUUAAGUCCCGCAACGAGCGCAACCCCUGUUUCUAGUUGCCAGCAUGUAAAGAUGGGAACUCUAGAAAGACUGCCGUAGAUAAUACGGAGGAAGGUGGGGAUGACGUCAAAUCAUCAUGCCCCUUAUGAUCUGGGCUACACACGUGCUACAAUGGCGCAUACAAAGAGAAGCGACCUCGCGAGAGCAAGCGGACCUCAUAAAGUGCGUCGUAGUCCGGAUUGGAGUCUGCAACUCGACUCCAUGAAGUCGGAAUCGCUAGUAAUCGUGGAUCAGAAUGCCACGGUGAAUACGUUCCCGGGCCUUGUACACACCGCCCGUCACACCAUGAGAGUUGGGGAUACCCGAAGCCUGUGAGCCAACAGUUAAAUGGGGCAGCAGUCGAAGGUAGAAUCAAUGAUUGGGGUG